AGCUGGUGGCUGCACAAUGGAGAGCCCGGGGCGGCCUCGCUCGGCCCCGCUCGAGCACGGCGCGACCAGGUGGGGCGGGGCGGGGCGGGGCAGGGGUCGCCACCGCCUUUCGGCCGCCAGGUGCUGACGGGGCGCGGAGCUCCCGCGCGGCGCAGGGUCGGGGGCUGCGGGCGCGGCCGCGCCACGAGUGUUCGCGGCCGUGAGGACGGCAGCGGGGUGUGGAACCGCACCCCGUGCAAGGGUUUGAGUUUUGGCCCCUGCGGGCGCCCAAGGUACGGGGACGGCGUGUGCUGCCCGUCCCGCCGGCCCCUCGUCUCGCCCCGCGGCUCCCGCCUCAGGGAGGCACCACUGGAAUGGGCUCGUCCCUUUUCCUCCGCAGUUUCCGACUGGCCAGUUUGCCUGCACGUAGGUGUGCGAAAGCUGGGGAAUAAGGAGUUAAAACAGAGGCAAACUCCCGUGGAACGGCACCGACAGCCCCCUGAUCAAAUAAACAAGAAUUUGCACCAUAAAGAGCCCAGGACCCGAUUGUGACAGCCCUUCAAGCAGAAUGUGUGUCUUGCUACUUAUGAAAACCCCUUGUUUAAAAUCCCGUUGAUGAAAGCUGCAGCUCCUCGCUUUUACUGCAUCGCACUUGGGCCACAAUCCCAUCAUCAGUAAUGCUGCAGGAUCAGUGAUUCAAACAGAGAAUCCUUGAACUACAGCAAACAAGCAAACAAGCAGAAGAUGGUAUGUAGAUUCUUGCUCAUGACAGCAUCCUUGUGCCCGAACAGAGAGCGGACUUCCUAGGACUACCUACUUGCCUCUUCUGUUUCUGUAACCUACUCCAAGAAAAAGAGACAACAUCUGCUGAAGUUUUAAGCUCUGAACUGAUAUAGGUACCCAAGGUCAAAAUUUGGGGAUUUUGUGUGCUGCUAAAAUAAAGUGCUCUAAUUAGUGCUUAUAACUGUUUUGUUUGCACAAAAAUGAGUUGUGUAAAUCAGCUGCAAACCGCUACACAAUUACCAAUGUAAUGAAAAAAAGCAAAUUAUGCAAAUAUUAAAUAGCCUGACUUACUACUA